ensembl:lncRNA
AUUUGGAUUUUUUGGGGGAUUUUUCUUCCAAUUUUAGUUCCUUUUUUGGGGUCAUUUUAUGGCAAUUUUUUUACAGAAUUUGGGAUUUUUUGGGGAUUUUUAUUCCAAUUUUGGUUCCUUUUUUGGGGUCAUUUUAAGGCAAUUUUUCUACAGAAUUUGGGAUUUUUUUGGGAUAAUUUCCUCAAAAAUUCCCAUUUUUUUUGCUUUUUUCCCCCCUUUUUCCCCCUUUUGGAUUUUGGGGAUUUUUCUGUAAAUUUUGGGAUUUUUUGGGAUUUUUAUUCCAAUUUUAGUUCCUUUUUUUGGGUCAUUUUAAGGCAAUUUUUCUACAGAAUUCGGGAUUUUUUUUCUGAUUUUUCUGUAAAUUUUGGCGUUUUUUUGAGGAUUUUUCUUUCAAUUUUAGUUCCUUUUUUUGACUCUUUUUUUUUGGCUGAUUUUUCCAUAAAUUUUGGGAUUUUUUUUGGGGAUAAUUUCCUCAAAAAUUCCCAUUUUUUUUUUGCUUUUUUUUCCCCCUUUUCCCCCCUUUUGGAUUCUGGGGAAUUUUUUGGGGGUCCCCAUUGGAUUUUUGGGGGUCACUGGGGGUCUCCUGCCAGCAGCCGGGGUCGGGGGAGGUCCCCAAACAUUUCGGUNNNNNNNNNNNNNNNNNNNNACAUUUCGGUUCCGUCGCCCCCUCCCCGCAGCGCCAGGGCUCUCAUGGAGGCCGCGAUUCGCUCCAGGUCCGGGGGGGCCUGGGGGGACACAAAAUUUGGGGUUUUUUGGGGGGUUCUGAACCCUAAAAUUAUCCUAAAUAAUCCCUAAAAUUGUCCUGAAUAAUCCCCAAAAUUGUCCUGAAUAAUCCCUAAAAUUAUCCUAAAUAAUCCCCAAAAUUAUCCUAAAUAAUCCCCAAAAUUGUCCUGAAUAAUCCCUAAAAUUAUCCUAAAUAAUCCCCAAAAUUAUCCUAAAUAAUCCCCAAAAUUGUCCUGAAUAAUCCCUGAAAUUAUCCUAAAUUAUCCCAAAAAUAUCCUGAAUAAUCCCCCAAAAUUAUCCUAAAUAAUCCCCAAAAUUGUCCUAAAUAAUCUCUAAAAUUAUCCUAAAUUAUCCCAAAAAUAUCCUGAAUAAUCCUCAAAAUAAUUGUAAAUAAUCCCCCAAAAUUAUCCUAAAUAAUCCCCAAAAUUAUCCUAAAUUAUCCCAAAAAUAUCCUGAAUAAUUGCCCAAAAUUAUCCUAAAUAAUUCUAUUUAAAUCCCAAAAUAAUCGUAAAUAAUCCCCAUAAAAACAUCAAAAUUUGGUGUUUUUUGGGGGGUUCUGAACCCUAAAAUUAUCUUAAAAAAAUCCCUAAAAUUAUCCUAAAUUAUCCCAAAAAUAUCCUGAAUAAUCCCCCAAAAUUAUCUUAAAUAAUCCCCAAAAUUUUCCUGAAUAAUCCCCAAAAUUGUCCUGAAUAAUCCCCAAAAUUAUCCUAAAUAAUUCUAUUUAAAUCCCAAAAUAAUCCAAAAUAAUCCCCAUAAUAACAUCAAAAUUUGGGGUUUUUUUGAAGGUUCUGAACCCUAAAAUUAUCCUAAAAAAAACCCUAAAAUUAUCCUAAAUUAUCCCAAAAAUAUCCGGAAUAAUCCCCAAAAUUAUCCUAAAUAAUCCCCAAAAUUGUCCUGAAUUAUCCCAAAAAUAUCCUGAAUAAUCCUCAAAAUAAUUGUAAAUAAUCCCCCAAAAUUAUCCUAAAUUAUCCCAAAAAUAUCCUGAAUAAUCCUCAAAAUAAUUGUAAAUAAUCCCCAAAAUUACCCCAAAUAAUUCCCUUUAAACCCUGAAAUUUGGGGAUUUUUGGGGGGU